UCAAGAAUGAACGCUGGCGGCGUGCUUCAUACAUGCAAGUCGAACGAGAAUCGGUAGCUUGCUACCGAGGAAAGUGGCGGAACGGGUGAGUAAUACGAUAGGGAAUCUGCCCUUAGGAGGGGGACAACAGUUGGAAACGACUGCUAAUACCGCAUAUGAGUAUAAUUGAAAUAUUAUACUUGAAAACUUCGGUGCCUAAGGAUGAGCCUGUGCCUGAUUAGCUAGUUGGAGGUGUAAAGGACCCCCAAGGCGACGAUCAGUAGCUGGUUUGAGAGGAUGAUCAGCCACAAUGGGACUGAGACACGGCCCAUACUCCUACGGGAGGCAGCAGUAGGGAAUUUUGCGCAAUGGGCGAAAGCCUGACGCAGCAACGCCGCGUGUGUGAUGAAGCCCUUAGGGGUGUAAAACACUGUCACCGGGGACGAAAUAUGACGGUACCCGGAGAGGAAGCACCGGCUAACUCCGUGCCAGCAGCCGC
rnacentral:rRNA from 1 species